UACAGAGGGUGCGAGCGUUAAUCGGAAUUACUGGGCUUAAAGGGUGCGUAGGCGGCGCGGUAAGUAGGGUGUGAAAUCCCUCGGCUCAACCGAGGAACUGCGCUCUAAACUACCGUGCUUGAGGGAGGUAGAGGUGAGCGGAACUUAGGGUGGAGCGGUGAAAUGCGUUGAUAUCCUAAGGAACACCGGUGGCGAAAGCGGCUCACUGGAUCUCUUCUGACGCUGAGGCACGAAAGCUAGGGUAGCGAACGGG
rnacentral:rRNA from 1 species